AGAGUUUGAUCAUGGCUCAGGACGAACGCUGGCGGCGUGCUUAACACAUGCAAGUCGAACGAUGAACCACUUCGGUGGGGAUUAGUGGCGAACGGGUGAGUAACACGUGGGCAAUCUGCCCUGCACUCUGGGACAAGCCCUGGAAACGGGGUCUAAUACCGGAUACUGACCCGCUUGGGCAUCCAAGCGGUUCGAAAGCUCCGGCGGUGCAGGAUGAGCCCGCGGCCUAUCAGCUUGUUGGUGAGGUAAUGGCUCACCAAGGCGACGACGGGUAGCCGGCCUGAGAGGGCGACCGGCCACACUGGGACUGAGACACGGCCCAGACUCCUACGGGAGGCAGCAGUGGGGAAUAUUGCACAAUGGGCGAAAGCCUGAUGCAGCGACGCCGCGUGAGGGAUGACGGCCUUCGGGUUGUAAACCUCUUUCAGCAGGGAAGAAGCGAAAGUGACGGUACCUGCAGAAGAAGCGCCGGCUAACUACGUGCCAGCAGCCGCGGUAAUACGUAGGGCGCGAGCGUUGUCCGGAAUUAUUGGGCGUAAAGAGCUCGUAGGCGGCUUGUCACGUCGGUUGUGAAAGCCCGGGGCUUAACCCCGGGUCUGCAGUCGAUACGGGCAGGCUAGAGUUCGGUAGGGGAGAUCGGAAUUCCUGGUGUAGCGGUGAAAUGCGCAGAUAUCAGGAGGAACACCGGUGGCGAAGGCGGAUCUCUGGGCCGAUACUGACGCUGAGGAGCGAAAGC
rnacentral:rRNA from 1 species